UACCAAUUCAGAUGUUGCGUGUUGGAUGUUGGGCCACAGAGGAGCUGAAACCUUGAUGGAUGGCAACAGCAUUUCAGUUGGCUCGGGCUCAUAUUGGUAUCGCUUCGAUUGCAAUGGUUAUGAAAGAAGACUUUUAAAUUGCACUUACAAUUCUCUUGACUACUGUUAUGAUAAUCCAGUAAUACUACAAUGUACAGAUGGCUAUGGCGAUCAAGGCGAUGUACAUCUGUAUGGAGGUUAUAAUCAAGGUCAAGGGACUCUUGAAGCAUACCUAUAUGGCAUUUGGGGUACCGUAUGCUCGUACAAUUGGAACAAAGACGCAUCGGACGUUGUCUGCAGACAACUUGGUUAUGAUAGAGCGGAAGACAAUUCUAACUCAUACGAGGCAGCACAUUAUAAAACAAUCCAUACAUUUCUAAUUGAGUGUACAGGAGAAGAGUCUCAACUGAGCGAUUGUAAUUUCAACACAUGACAGUGAUGUUGCACUAACGUGUGUGCAUGCAGGAUUAUCCGGUUCCGUUAUUGCAGCAAUCAUUGUUGGAGUCAUUGUUGGGGGCAUCUUGGUGUUAGUGUGCGUGUUUUACCACUGCUGCAAGAAAACAACUCCACGACCUUCAAACACGUCGUUUGCUACUAGCCAUCCACAAGUACCGAAUGUUUCUCUACUGGUCCAAAGUUUGGUUGGGUAUCAGCCUAGUCUUAUUUACCCUGCAGCCCGAUCGGCAUGGACAUCGACAUGCCCAACGGCAUGGUUAUCGGAACCGCCGCCUUCAUAUAAUAAUGUAGUCAACAAUCCAAAUACAUUUACAUCGGCUCAAACAUUACAGCACCGCAUCCUGUAGAAACGUCUCCACCAGCUUUCAUGCCAUACCAACCACACUUGAAUCAGGGUGUUGACCA